rnacentral:rRNA from 1 species
GAUGAACGCUGGCGGCGUGCCUAAUACAUGCAAGUCGAGCGAACAGACGAGGAGCUUGCUCCUCUGACGUUAGCGGCGGACGGGUGAGUAACACGUAGAUAACCUACCUAUAAGACUGGGAUAACUUCGGGAAACCGGAGCUAAUACCGGAUAAUAUAUUGAACCGCAUGGUUCAAUAGUGAAAGACGGUUUUGCUGUCACUUAUAGAUGGAUCCGCGCCGCAUUAGCUAGUUGGUAAGGUAACGGCUUACCAAGGCAACGAUGCGUAGCCGACCUGAGAGGGUGAUCGGCCACACUGGAACUGAGACACGGUCCAGACUCCUACGGGAGGCAGCAGUAGGGAAUCUUCCGCAAUGGGCGAAAGCCUGACGGAGCAACGCCGCGUGAAUGAUGAAGGUCUUCGGAUCGUAAAACUCUGUUAUUAGGGAAGAACAAAUGUGUAAGUAACUAUGCACGUCUUGACGGUACCUAAUCAGAAAGCCACGGCUAACUACGUG